AUUGGAUUUGGGUGUGAAGGGAGGGUAACACAGUGGACGCCAAUAGCCUCAGGUCGAGAUACAGAGGUCAAUAAGAACCCUUUUAUGCGCACUUUAAAUAUAAACUGUAGGAGUCUGUUCAGAGACACACAUUCACACACAAGCAAAAUACAUGUGAACUAAACUUGCAGUCAUGCAGUUCUAUUGGCACUUUUGGACUGACACACUCUCUCUCAUCCUGAGGUCACAGCUCAGAGAAACCUAGGGACCUCAGAAAGAGUCUCAGUCUGGUAGGAUCCCAGGACAUUUCCGUGGUGAUCCAGCCCACCAAUCUUACACCUGGAGUGGUCCAAAUUCCCAUCUAGCUCCAACUAUCUUCUAUCACAAGAGCUGCCAAGAGGCCAGGAGUGGUAGAGAAUGCCCGCAAUCCCAGCUACGCAGGAGGCCGGGGCAUAAGAAUCCCCAGUUCAAGGCCAGUCUCAGCAACUUAGUGAGACCCUGUUUCAAAAAAUAGAAAAAGCUGGGAUGAAAAGAGACAGACACUGGGGAAAGGAGGACUUCCUUGGCCAGGGACUACUUUCCCCAUGAAAAAAAGAAGGUGAUGCCAUCCUAUGGCUCUGUGACUGGCUGCCACUGAGUCUACCAGGAAGAACCAGGGACCUGGUUCUCUGUUGUGACCUUGUCCCAGAAUUUCCUUUGCUUCAGAAAUAGCGGUGGACCCUCCUGGGAGAACUAAAAAACAGGUGAUGGGAGGAUUUUUUUUUUUCCUCUCAGGGGAGGGACUUGGCUGGGUAGAUAUAAACCCCAACCUGUACAGUUCUCUAUAAAAUGAUUU
rnacentral:lncRNA from 1 species